CCUCGAGCGGCACGGGCUCGUGCGUCGCGUGCACGGCGGCGCGAUCCCCGUCGAGCGCCUCGGGUUCGAGCCCGGCAUCGCGGACC
rnacentral:tRNA from 1 species